GGUUCGAUCAUGGCUCAGAUUGAACGCUGGCGGGAUGCUUUACACAUGCAAGUCGAACGGCAGCACGGACCGGUCUGGUGGCGAGUGGCGAACGGGUGAGUAAUGUAUCGGAACGUGCCUAGUAGCGGGGGGAUAACUACGCAAGCGUAGCUAAUGCCGCAUACGCCCUUCGAGGGAAAGCGGGGACCUUCGGGCCUCGCACUAUUAGAGCGGCCGAUAUCGGAUUAGCUAGUUGGUGGGCUAACGGCUCACCGGAAGCGACGAUCCGUAGCUGGUUUGAGAGGACGACCAGCCACACUGGGACUGAGACACGGCCCAGACUCCUACGAGAGGCGGCAGUGGGGGAAUUUUGGACAAGUAAAACCCUGAUCCAGCCAUCCCGCGUGUGCGAUGAAGGCCUUCGGGUUGUAAAGCACUUUUGGCAGGAAAGAAACGGCACGGGAUAAUACCCCGUGCAACUGACGAACACCUGCAGAAUAAGCACCGGCUAACUACGUGCCAGCAGCCGCGGUAAUACACGUAGAAAGUGCAAGCGUUAAUCGGAAUUACUGGGCGUAAAGCGUGCGCGGGCGGUUCGGAAGAAAGAUGUAGAAAUCCAGAGCAACUUUGGAACUGCAUUUUUAACUACCGAGCUAGAGUGUGUCAGAGGGAGGUGGAAUUCCCGCGUGUAGCAGUGAAAUGCGUAGAUAUGCGGAGGAACACCGAUAGCGAAGGCAGCCUCCUGGGAUAACACUGACGCUCAUGCACGAAAAGCGUGGGGAGCAAAACAGGAUUAGAUACCCUGGUAGUCCACGCCCUAAACGAUGUCAACUAGCUGUUGGGGCCUUCGGGCCUUGGUAGCGCAGCUAACGCGUGAAGUUGACCGCCUGGGAAAUACGGUCGCAAGAUUAAAACUCAAAGGAAUUGACGGGGACCCGCACAAGCGGUGGAUGAUGUGGAUUAAUUCGAUGCAACGCGAAAAACCUUACCUACCCUUGACAUGUCUGGAAUCCCGAAGAGAUUUGGGAGUGCUCGCAAGAACCGGAACACAGGUGCUGCAUGGCUGUCGUCAGCUCGUGUCGUGAGAUGUUGGGUUAAGUCCCGCAACAGGCGCAACCCUUGUCAUUAGUUGCUACAGAAAGGGGCACUCUAAUGAGACUGCCGGUGACAAACCGGAAGGUGGGGAUGGCGUCAAGUCCUCAUGGCCCUUAUGGGUAGGGCUUCACACGUCAUACAAUGGUCGGGACAGAGGGUCGCCAACCCGCGAGGGGAGCCAAUCCCAGAAACCCGAUCGUAGUCCGGAUCGCAGUCUGCAACUCGACUGCGUGAAGUCAAGAUCGCUAAUCGCGGAUCAGCAUGUCGCGGUGAAUACGUUCCCGGGUCUUGUACACACCCGUCACACCAUGGGGUAUGGGUUUUACCAGAAGUAGUUAGCCUAACCGUAAGGAGGCGAUUACCACGGUAGGAUUCAUGACUGGGGUAGCAGGAAGUCGUAACAAGGUAA
rnacentral:rRNA from 1 species